rnacentral:lncRNA from 1 species
UGGGCUGCUCUAAAACUUUAAAAUCAUAUCUUAAGACUUCAUCUCUUUUCUCUCCGAAGAAGACAUUCAUCCCUCUUUCUAUAGAGUUUGACGUGCACGCAAAGUAGAGGAUCUGCGCAUCUAGAUCAUGCGAAGCAAGUUGAUAGAGGAUCUUGUUCAACCUUGAUCCUUUUCCACUAUAAAUCAAGGUGAAAUCUCAUAAAUAUUAUAAAAAUUUUAAUUACUAAUCUAUUCUUUCCUCCUAACAUCCGAUGCGAUCGGAU